UUUUUUCCUGAAAGUCAAUAAAGAAGGAAUGAUGACACCUUCACUGCAUCUAUGGGGACAAAAGCUGCUCGUGUGUGUGUGUGUGUGUGUGUGUGUGUGUGUGUGUGUGUAAGAGAGAGACAGAGAACAGCCUUGUCAAAAGGAUGUGUUUGUUGCUGUACCCUCAUUAUACGAAAGCCAUCAUGGCAUCAAAAUGCUGUAAGCCAGGCUGAGCUCUAUUCUCUCUGCAUCAACUCAGAAUCCCUACCAGAAAGUGGUUGUGAUGGAUGGAAUAUCACCCAUCAAAGAACAGGGUAAGAUGAGACCAGAGAGAUACCUGAAUGGACUGUUCUCUUAGCUCUCUUCAUGGAAUUUUGUCGGUUCAAGAAGUCAUACCCCAGCCCAAGAGAAGCCCUGGACAUCUCUCAUAAGACAUCCAAGGGACAGGGCUCCUGGGAGACCUAGGGUGAGCUGGAGAGUGAAGAACAGACCCCACUGGGAAGUAAGCAGCCCUGGAUUCUGCCUCUUGCAAACUGAUUCGUUUUGAACCCUGUUUUUCUAUCUGUACAAGGGACUGUAACUCCCCUGCCCCUGCCUAGAUUCUCAUACCUGGAGACUAGGAGGGCUAAGACCCCUUCUAGAGAUAAAAAUAAAAGUUGUGAAGAAAAAGA